GGAAGAUAAUGACGGUACUAUAUGAAUAAGCACCGGCUAACUCCGUGCCAGCAGCCGCGGUAAUACGGAGGGUGCAAGCGUUACUCGGAAUCACUGGGCGUAAAGCGCGCGCAGGCGGCCUUUUAAGUUGGAUGUGAAAGCCUACGGCUCAACCGUAGAACUGCAUCCAAAACUACUAGGCUAGAGUCUGGGAGGGGAAGAUGGAAUUAGUUGUGUAGGGGUAAAAUCCGUAGAGAUAACUAGGAAUACCAAAAGCGAAGGCAAUCUUCUGGAACAGUACUGACGCUGAGGCGCGAAAGCGUGGGGAGCAAACAGGAUUAGAUACCCUGGUAGUCCACGCCCUAAACGAUGAAUGUUAGUCGUCGGGUAGCUAGUCUAUUCGGUGAUGCAGCUAACGCAUUAAACAUUCCGCCUGGGGAGUACGGUCGCAAGACUAAAACUCAAAGGAAUAGACGGGGACCCGCACAAGUGGUGGAGCAUGUGGUUUAAUUCGAAGAUACGCGAAGAACCUUACCUAGCCUUGACAUAUUUAAGAACACUUUAGAGAUAGAGUGGUGCCUUCGGGAGCUUUUAUACAGGUGCUGCACGGCUGUCGUCAGCUCGUGUCGUGAGAUGUUGGGUUAAGUCCCGCAACGAGCGCAACCCUCGUCACUAGUUACUAACGGUUCGGCCGAGGACUCUAGUGAGACUGCCUUCGCAAGGAGGAGGAAGGUGAGGACGACGUCAAGUCAUCAUGGCCCUUACGGCUAGGGCAACACACGUGCUACAAUGGCCAGGACAAUGAGAAGCAAUACCGCGAGGUGGAGCAAAUCUAUAAACCUGGUCUCAGUUCGGAUUGUUCUCUGCAACUCGAGAGCGUGAAGCUGGAAUCACUAGUAAUCGUAGAUCAGCUAUGCUACGGUGAAUACGUUCCCGGGUCUUGUACUCACCGCCCGUCACACCAUGGGAGUUGAUUUCACCCGAAGCGGGGAAGCUAAACCGGCUACCCUCCACGGUGGAAUCAGCGACUGGGGUG
rnacentral:rRNA from 1 species